rnacentral:rRNA from 1 species
GUAGAUCAUCUGCCCUCAGGUCCGGGAUAGCUGCGGGAAACUGCAGGUAAUACCGGAUAACAUCUCCGGAUCAAAGGUGUGAUUCCGCCUGAGGAUGAGUCUGCAUCCUAUUAGCUAGUUGGCAGGGUAACGGCCUACCAAGGCAUUGAUGGGUAGCGGGUGUGAGAGCACGACCCGCGUCAUUGGGACUGAGACACUGCCCAGACACCUACGGGUGGCUGCAGUCGAGAAUCUUCGGCAAUGGGCGCAAGCCUGACCGAGCGACGCCGCGUGUGGGAUGAAGGCCUUCGGGUUGUAAACCACUGUCAGAGGGGAUGAAAUGCAGGUGGGUUCUCCCAUCUGUUUGGCAUAGCCUCAGAGGAAGGACGGGCUAAGUUCGUGCCAGCAGCCGCGGUAAGACGAACCGUCCAAACGUUAUUCGGAAUUACUGGGCUUAAAGGGUGCGUAGCCGGCGCGAAAAAGUUGGGUGUGAAAUCCCUCGGCUCAACCGAGGAACUGCGCCCAAUACUACCGUGCUU